rnacentral:tRNA from 1 species
AGGGGCAUAGUGCAAUGGUAGCAUACCGGUCUCCAAAACCGUUGAUGUCAGUUCGAAUCUGGCUGCCCCUG